rnacentral:tRNA from 1 species
UUUUGAAAAGUGAAAUUUCACAAAUAACUUUGAAUUAUUUUUAUAUUUCAAAAA